UAGGGAAUCUUCCACAAUGGACGCAAGUCUGAUGGAGCAACGCCGCGUGAGUGAAGAAGGCUUUCGGGUCGUAAAACUCUGUUAUUGAAGAAGAACGUGUGUGACAGUAACUGGUCAUGCAGUGACGGUAUUCAAUCAGAAAGUCACGGCUAACUACGUGCCAGCAGCCGCGGUAAUACGUAGGUGGCAAGCGUUGUCCGGAUUUAUUGGGCGUAAAGCGAGUGCAGGCGGUCUUUUAAGUCUGAUGUGAAAGCCUUCGGCUUAACCGAAGAAGGGCAUCGGAAACUGGGAGACUUGAGUGCAGAAGAGGAGAGUGGAACUCCAUGUGUAGCGGUGAAAUGCGUAGAUAUAUGGAAGAACACCAGUGGCGAAGGCGGCUCUCUGGUCUGUAACUGACGCUGAGGCACGAAAGCGUGGGUAGCAAACAGGAUUAGAUACCCUGGUAGUCCACGCCGUAAACGAUG
rnacentral:rRNA from 1 species